AGGGGGGCCCAAUAAUGCAAGUCGGACGGGAUUGAAUUAUAGCUUGCUUUAAUUUCAUGAGAGUGGCGCACGGUUGCGUAACGCGUGAGCAACCUACCCAUAUCAGGGGGAUAGCCUCUCGAAAGAGAGAUUAACACCGCAUAACAUCAUUAACCGGCAUCGGAUUAUGAUCAAAUAUUUAUAGGAUAUGGAUGGGCUCGCGUGACAUUAGCUAGUUGGAGGGGUAACGGCCCACCAAGGCUACGAUGUCUAGGGGCUCUGAGAGGAGAAUCCCCCACACUGGUACUGAGACACGGACCAGACUCCUACGGGAGGCAGCAGUAAGGAAUAUUGGUCAAUGGAGGGAACUGUGGGCCAGCCAUGCCGCGUGCAGGAUGACUGCCCUAUGGGUUGUAAACUGCUUUUGUCAGGGAAUAAACCUUUCCACGUGUGGGAAGCUGAAUGUACCUGAAGAAUAAGGAUCGGCUAACUCCGUGCCAGCAGCCGCGGUAAUACGGAGGAUCCAAGCGUUAUCCGGAUUUAUUGGGUUUAAAGGGUGCGUAGGCGGUCCUAUAAGUCAGUGGUGAAAGACGGCAGCUUAACUGUCGCAGUGCCUUUGAUACUGUAGGACUUGAAUCUAUUUGAAGUGGGCGGAAUAAGACAAGUAGCGGUGAAAUGCAUAGAUAUGUCUUAGAACUCCGAUUGCGAAGGCAGCUCACUAAGUUAGUAUUGACGCUGAUGCACGAAAGCGUGGGGAUCAAACAGGAUUAGAUACCCUGGUAGUCCCCGCCCUAAACGAUGAUAACUCGAUGUUUGCGAUACACAGUAAGCGUCCAAGCGAAAGCGUUAAGUUAUCCACCUGGGGAGUACGGUCGCAAGGUUGAAACUCAUAGGAAUUGACGGGGGCCCGCACAAGCGGAGGAGCAUGUGGUUUAAUUCGAUGAUACGCGAGGAACCUUACCCGGGCGUGAAAGCUAGUGAAUGAUCCAGAGACGGAUCAGUCCUUCGGGACACGAAACUAGGUGCUGCAUGGCUGUCGUCAGCUCGUGCCGUGAGGUGUUGGGUUAAGUCCCGCAACGAGCGCAACCCCUAUGUUUAGUUGCCAGCACAUUAAAGGUGGGGGACUCUAACAGACUGCCAUCGUAAGCUGUGAGGUAUGGUGAGACGACGAUCAGUCAUCAUGAUCCUGUACGUUCCGGCGGCUGCACACGUGCCUAACGAUUGGAAUGG
rnacentral:rRNA from 1 species